rnacentral:rRNA from 1 species
AACGAACGCUGGCGGCAUGCCUAACACAUGCAAGUCGAACGAAGCCUUCGGGCUUAGUGGCGCACGGGUGCGUAACGCGUGGGAAUCUGCCCUUGGGUUGGGAAUAACAGUUAGAAAUGACUGCUAAUACCGGAUAAUGUCUUCGGACCAAAGAUUUAUCGCCCAAGGAUGAGCCCGCGUAGGAUUAGGUAGUUGGUGGGGUAAUGGCCCACCAAGCCGACGAUCCUUAGCUGGUCUGAGAGGAUGAUCAGCCACACUGGGACUGAGACACGGCACAGACUCCUACGGGAGGCAGCAGUGGGGAAUAUUGGACAAUGGGCGAAAGCCUGAUCCAGCAAUGCCGCGUGAGUGAUGAAGGCCUUAGGGUUGUAAAGCUCUUUUACCAGGGAUGAUAAUGACAGUACCUGGAGAAUAAGCUCCGGCUAACUCCGUGCCAGCUGCCGCAGUAAAAC